UACGUAGGGGGCGAGCGUUGUCGUGAAUUAUUGGGCGUAAAGGGCUCGUAGGCGGUCUGUCACGUCGGGAGUGAAAACUCAGGGCUUAACCCUGAGCCUGCUUCCGAUACGGGCAGACUAGAGGUAUGCAGGGGAGAACGGAAUUCCUGGUGUAGCGGUGAAAUGCGCAGAUAUCAGGAGGAACACCGGUGGCGAAGGCGGUUCUCUGGGCAUUACCUGACGCUGAGGAGCGAAAGUGUGGGGAGCGAACAGG
rnacentral:rRNA from 1 species